CACGUAGGGUGCGAGCGUUGUUCGGAAUUACUGGGCGUAAAGGGCGCGUAGGCGGCCCGCUAAGUCGAACGUGAAAUCCCCGAGCUCAACUCGGGAACUGCGUCCGAUACUGGCGGGCUUGAAUCCGGGAGAGGGAUGCGGAAUUCCAGGUGUAGCGGUGAAAUGCGUAGAUAUCUGGAGGAACACCGGUGGCGAAGGCGGCAUCCUGGACCGGCAUUGACGCUGAGGCGCGAAAGCUAGGGGAGCAAACGGG
rnacentral:rRNA from 1 species